rnacentral:rRNA from 1 species
UACAGAGGGGGCAAGCGUUGUUCGGAAUUACUGGGCGUAAAGGGCGCGUAGGCGGCCAACUAAGUCAGACGUGAAAUCCCAUGGCUCAACCAUGGAACUGCGUCUGAUACUGGAUGGCUUGAGUUCGGGAGAGGGAAGUGGAAUUCCAGGUGUAGCGGUGAAAUGCGUAGAUAUCUGGAGGAACACCGGUGGCGAAGGCGGCAUCCUGGACCGGUAUUGACGCUGAUGCGCGAAAGCCAGGGGAGCAAACGGG